rnacentral:rRNA from 1 species
UACGGGGGGUGCAAGCGUUAUUCGGAAUCAUUGGGCGUAAAGAGCGCGUAGGCGGCCCAAUAAGUCAGAUGUGAAAGCCCGGGGCUUAACCCUGGAAGUGCAUUUGAAACUAUUGGGCUUGAGUAUGGGAGAGGGAAGUGGAAUUCCUGGUGUAGAGGUGAAAUUCGUAGAUAUCAGGAGGAACACCGGUGGCGAAGGCGACUUCCUGGACCAAUACUGACGCUGAGGCGCGAAGGCGUGGGGAGCAAACAGG